rnacentral:rRNA from 1 species
GUGGGGAAUUUUGGACAAUGGGGGGAACCCUGAUCCAGCCAUGCCGCGUGUGUGAAGAAGGCCUUUUGGUUGUAAAGCACUUUAAGCGAGGAGGAGGCUACCGAGAUUAAUACUCUUGGAUAGUGGACGUUACUCGCAGAAUAAGCACCGGCUAACUCUGUGCCAGCAGCCGCGGUAAUACAGAGGGUGCAAGCGUUAAUCGGAUUUACUGGGCGUAAAGCGCGCGUAGGUGGCCAAUUAAGUCAAAUGUGAAAUCCCCGAGCUUAACGUGGGAAUUGCAUUCGAUACUGGUUGGCUAGAGUAUGGGAGAGGAUGGUAGAAUUCCAGGUGUAGCGGUGAAAUGCGUAGAGAUCUGGAGGAAUACCGAUGGCGAAGGCAGCCAUCUGGCCUAAUACUGACGCUGAGGUACGAAAGCAUGGGGAGCAAACAGGAUUAGAAACCCGUGUAGUCC